AAAGACCGAAUUUGUUACGGUCUGUUCGGUCCUGCUGUUUCUAAGACCGAAUAGCCCGUAAAGACCGAAUAAAUAAAAGCCCAUACAUACGAGUUUAGCAAAGGCCCAACUCAUGAGCGAGAUACACACACACCUCACCUCAGACCUCACGCCCUAGGCCUCACCUCACGAUUGGAACGAGCAGGCAGCAUCGGCUUCAUUCCCGUUCCCCAUUUUCUCUCCCACGACAAACCCUAGCCGCCGGCCACCGGCCGCCGCUGUGACCCGAUGCCCCAUCCCCUGUGAGCCCGUGACGACUGAUGACCACCGCACCGAGGCGCCGCUCACCCUGACCGAUGAAUCCUAGCGCCCAUAGCUGCGCCCAGGACCGGUGAGGCGGUGAGCCGGUGACGACCACGACCAGCGUCCAGGCCGUCAACCGCCGUGCCCCCGUGCGUCGCGCCACGCCGCCAACUCCGACCCUCCUGCGUCGCUCCUCAACCACGACGCCGACCCCGACCAGGCGACCACCAUCUAGGUUGCAGUUCAUCACCACCUCGUCCUCUUCCACGCUGGUCGCCGGCUCGCCGCCUACUGUCCUUGUUCCAUGCUCCACCUCGCAGCUGAAGGUGAGCAAGCUAUCUCAUAUCUCUAUGUGCAUCAAACUCAUUUGUGGUGUUCAUGUUCUGUGAUGUCUAGAUUUUGUUUAGAUGUUCAUGUCCUGUGAUGUACAAAUUCUGUGAUGUUUAUGUUCUACGAUGUCCAGAUUUUGUGAUGUCCAUAUUCUGCGAUGUCCAGGUUUUGUGUUGUACAAACUCAUUUAUGAGUUGUUUGUGGUAGAUGUCCAGAUUUUGCUCAUGUCAAUGUUGCUGCCUGCUUGCAGGUGUUUGCUUGUAUGUGCUGCUGUUGAAAUAAUUGUCUUUUUGUUGGUUUGUAUGUUGAAAUAACGAGUAGCUUUCUCUUUUUUUGUAGAUGCUAUCUAUAGCAGAAUCUGAAAGUCAUGAUAAGGAGUUGAAUGGGAAAGAUGAUGAAGAUAUGAUUCUAGAGGCAGAGGCGGAUGCAGAAGCAACUGCUGCUGCAGAAGCAGGGGACGAAUCAGUCUAUCACCAUAGCAGAUCUCUAACUCCGCACAUAGCAUUUGUCACUUUUAGUCUAUCACCAUAGCUAGCAAAUUAUGAAAUUUGAUUGAAUACUUGACUUGUUGCAGAGUUGAUUGAAGAAUUUGGUGACAAGGUGAAGGGAAAGCGUAAGGGUGUUGUUGCUUCUUCCAUGGCCAAGUCAAACAAGUGUCCAAGUCGACCAACAAAGUGACGUCCAUGUCUACUCAUGGUUGAACUAAAAUCAUGUGGAACGUAUGCUGUUUUAGUUUCAUCUUGUACUUGUGAUUUGUGACUUGAGAAUUGAGAACUGAGAGUGAGACUGUGAGACCUUAAUGUUUGUUGUUUGCCGCUGAAUUGAAAUCAUGUACUGGACUUGGUUUGCUUCAUGUCAAGUGCUAUGUUGUCAAGUACGAAGAGGUGAUGUGUUUGCUGCUUGUCAAUUCCAUGGGCUGAUGUUACUUGAUCUUCUUACUUUUUGCUGUCAAAUAUAAACACGUGUUGUCUCUGUACAAACACAUUUGUAUACACAUAUACCUCUGUACUCUAUGUAGUUUGCAUACAACUGUUACUGGAAGUAAUAUAAAUCUAAG
rnacentral:lncRNA from 1 species